rnacentral:rRNA from 1 species
AUUGAACGCUGGCGGCAUGCUCUACACAUGCAAGUCGAACGGUAACAGGCCGCAAGGUGCUGACGAGUGGCGAACGGGUGAGUAAUGCAUCGGAACGUGCCCAGUCGUGGGGGAUAACGCAACGAAAGCUGCGCUAAUACCGCAUACGAUCUAUGGAUGAAAGCGGGGGACCGUAAGGCCUCGCGCGAUUGGAGCGGCCGAUGUCAGAUUAGGUAGUUGGUGGGGUAAAGGCCUACCAAGCCAACGAUCUGUAGCUGGUCUGAGAGGACGACCGGCCACACUGGGACUGAGCAACGGCCCAGACUCCUACGGGAGGCAGAAGUGGGGAAUUUUGGACAAUGGGCGCAAGCCUGAUCCAGCAAUGCCGCGUGCAGGAAGAAGGCCUUCGGGUUGUAAGCUGCUUUUGUACGGAACGAAACGGUCCGGGUUAAUACCCUGGGCUAAUGACGGUACCGUAAGAAUAAGCACCGGCUAACUACGUGCCAGCCGCCGCCGUAACAC